AAGAGUUGAAAAACUCCCUAAACCAUCGUGAACAUACCCUCCAAUGUUGCUUCGGCGGGCUAGCACCAGUUCUCCUGGUGCCUCCCGGCCCCACCUCGGGGCGGCCCGCCGGAGGUGCCGAACUCUUGAACUCUGUAUGGCCUCUCUGAGUCUUUUGUACUGAAUUAGUCA
rnacentral:misc_RNA from 1 species